rnacentral:rRNA from 1 species
GGGGAUGGUUCAUUCAAAUUUCUGGCCCUAUCAACUUUCGAUUGGUGAGUAGUGUUCACCAAUGGUGUCGACGGGUAACGAAGGAAUUAGGGUUCGAUCUCGGAGAGAACGCCUGAGAGACGGGUACACAUCCAAGGAAGGCAGCAGGCACGCAAAUUACCCAAUCCCGAUACGGGAGGUAGUGACAAUAAAUACUGAUGCAGGGUUCUUUUGGGUCUUGCAAUUGGGAAUGAGUACAAUUUAAACCCCUUAACGAGGAACCAAUUGGGAGGGCAAAUCUGGUGCCAGCAGCCGGGUAAUUCCAGUCCAAUUAGCGUAUAUUAACAGGUUGUCGCAGUUUAAAAAAGCUCGUAAGUUGAAAAUUUGGGCCUGGCUUUGGCCAGGGUUCC